rnacentral:misc_RNA from 1 species
GUUGCAUAUGUUGCUUAGAUGGGAUCUUUGGACAUAUCUGUGUUGCUUUAUGUUUAUGGUUCCCUUUGGCUUGGUUGUAUUUUCUGUUUUUAGUUUAUAUAUUUAUAGCCAGUAUAAUUUCUCAUUAUUAUUUAAGUGUUUUUCUUCUAUUAUUUUAUGCAAUCUAAUUUUUUCCAGCCCUUUUUAAGCCUUUGUCUCGUUUGGAGCAGUAGUUUCUAUGUUCUUUUGCUAUCUUAGUAAUUUGAAUGGCAUAAGCUAACCUAAUCUUAAUUGGUUAUGUUUUGCUAUCUUUCUUACUUAUUGGCUCCUUUCUGAUGCUGCAGUGGAUAUUCUUUGUUGCGAGAU